ensembl:ncRNA C41G7.13 ncRNA
AAGCAAAUGAAUGAGAAAGAAAAAGCCUAUAUGGUGCUACAGUAACCGAAUGAAAUUUUUGAUGGGAUGUGAAUAUUUGGGAGACAAUACUGUACUGUACAUAGAGAGAGACCAAAAUAAUCGAAACUUAAAUGGGAUGGAGAAAAAAAUGAAAUUCAAAGACCCGCUGUUUAUAUCAUAUUUUCUCGAUUUCAGAGUUCUUAGUGGAGGAGGUGAAACUUUGAGAGAGUACAAUAUUCAUUUAAAAAAAUUAAACUUAAUAAGCUGGGGUUUCUACUCUUGGUGGGACCGUGGAGACG